rnacentral:lncRNA from 12 species
CGAACGGUUGCCUGAGUGAGCGAGUCUGCAGUGAUUUUGGCUCAGCCAAGCCAGGCUCCCUGAGUCAUCCUGGCCUGAUGGAGAAACACAGCCUCACGUUGCAGGUCUGGCUUCCUUUAGUGUCCAGAUAUCAUUGCAGAACCCUAAUAGCAGAGUCAAAGAAGAGUCAACAGCAGACUGGCGGUUGGAUAACUCAACACCAAUCCCAAUCCUCUCUUCCAAUACCAGUCUCCAGUACAGAGAUUCUCUGAUGCUCAAGAGGCUUGAGGCUAAGGCAUUGGGACCAGCACUGAAAAAGCUGCUUCCCUUGCUGUUAUUGACCAUGGCGUGACAUCAUCAUUCUUCAGAGUGACUGGGAUCUUGGACCCAAGGCCUGGAGGGAGUCAGCUUUUCUGCUGAAAGGUGAACACAGUUUUCUAGAUGGCUCUGAGGCCAGUUCAGUAUAGCUGCAUGAAAAAGAAUAGGAACACCUAUUCUUUCUCUUUAAAAACAUUCUUUAGAAGAACAGUAUAAAAGUAUGAUCCUAUGUACAAAAUUGGCUCUUUGUAUGCCAAAAAGAAAAUAUGUUUAGCCAGACAAGAUGCUUGGCUUUGUUACCCCAAACCAGCUUCCAGUCUUGAGGAGAAUGUGUUUCAAAAGUAUGUCUCUCUUCUUAGAACCAGAUGAAGUACAGAAAAACAGAAACACUACCUAAAAUGUUUUUUAUAUAGAAGUACACAUUAAGUCCUUUUUUGUAAUUUUAUUUAUACUUACACUUGGAAACUAUUAAAAAGCACAGGGAAAAACAAAUUAUCAUAAAUGAUUUUUGGUGUGUAUAUCCUUCCAUCUUUUUCUGACAUAUAGAGAAAACAUCUAUAGAUUUCUUUUUCAAAAAUAUUUUACAAAUAAAAAUGAAUUGUUUCAAUUAUUUUAUAAAUCU